AACGAACGCUGGCGGCAUGCCUAACACAUGCAAGUCGAACGAGACAUUCGGGUCUAGUGGCGCACGGGUGCGUAACGCGUGGGAACCUGCCCUUAGGUUCGGAAUAACUCCCCGAAAGGGGUGCUAAUACCGGAUAAUGUCUUCGGACCAAAGAUUUAUCGCCUUUGGAUGGGCCCGCGUUGGAUUAGCUAGUUGGUAGGGUACAAGCCUACCAAGGCGACGAUCCAUAGCUGGUCUGAGAGGAUGAUCAGCAACACUGGGACUGAGACACGGCCCAGACUCGUACGGGAGGCAGCAGUGGGGAAUAUUGGACAAGGGGCGAGAGCCUGAUCCAGCAAUGCCGCGUGAGUGAUGAAGGCCUUAGGGUUGUAAAGCUCUUUUGCCCGGGAUGAUAAUGACAGUACCGGGAGAAUAAGCUCCGGCUAACUCCGUG
rnacentral:rRNA from 1 species